rnacentral:rRNA from 1 species
CUACGGGUUGCACCAGUGAGGAAUCUUCCGCAAUGGGCGAAAGCCUGACGGAGCGACACCGCGUGAAGGAUGAAGGCCUUUUGGUUGUAAACUUCUUUUCUGAGGGAAUAAAUGAUGAAGUUACCUCAGGAAUAAGCACCGGCUAACUACGUGCCAGCAGCCGCGGUAAUACGUAGGGUGCAAGCGUUAUCCGGAAUCAUUGGGCGUAAAGCGUUCGUAGGUGGUUUUAUAAGUUUGUAGUCAAAUCCGGUCGCUCAACGAUCAAAUCGCUACAAAAACUAUUUAACUAGAGAAUGGCAGAGGCAACUGGAAUUCCGCAUGUAGGGGUAAAAUCCGUUGAUAUGCGGAGGAACACCAAAAGCGAAGGCAGGUUGCUGGGCCAUUUCUGACACUGAGGAACGAAAGCGUGGGGAGCAAACAGGAUUAGAUACCCCCGUAGUC